rnacentral:rRNA from 1 species
GACGAACCGUGCGAACGUUAUUCGGAAUCACUGGGCUUAAAGCGCGUGUAGGCGGGAGGGCACGUCCGUUGCUGAAAUCCCCCGGCUCAACCGGGGAACGGGCGCGGAUACGACCUUCCUGGAGGGGCGUAGGGGGACCUGGAACUUCCGGUGGAGCGGUGAAAUGCGUUGAGAUCGAAAGGAACGCCCGUGGCGAAAGCGAGGUCCUGGACGCCUACUGACGCUGAGACGCGAAAGCCAGGGGAGCGAACGGG